rnacentral:rRNA from 1 species
UACGGAGGGGGCUAGCGUUGUUCGGAAUUACUGGGCGUAAAGCGCACGUAGGCGGCUUUGUAAGUUAGAGGUGAAAGCCCAGGGCUUAACCCUGGAAUUGCCUUUAAGACUGCAUCGCUAGAAUUGUGGAGAGGUAAGUGGAAUUCCGAGUGUAGAGGUGAAAUGCGUAGAUAUCAGGAAGAACACCAGCGGCGAAGGCGGCACUCUGGGCCGGUACUGACGCUGAGGAGCGAAAGCGUGGGUAGCAAACAGG